rnacentral:rRNA from 1 species
AGCUCCAAUAGCGUAUAUUUAAGUUGUUGCAGUUAAAAAGCUCGUAGUUGGAUUUCGGGCCGCGUCUUAUUUGGUCACCUUUUCAGGUCGCAUCACUAAGGCCGGCCUUGCUGUCGAUGACGCGUGGGGUGGCUCGCGCCAUGCCCGUGGACUCGACGACGUUACUUUGAGUAAAUUAGAGUGUUCAAAGCAAGCCAAAGCUCUGAAUAUAAUAGCAUGGGAUAACACGACAGGACUCUAGGUCUAUCGUGUUGGUCUAUAGGCCGGGGUAAUGAUUAAGAGGGACAGUCGGGGGCAUUCGUAUUCCAUUGUCAGAGGUGAAAUUCAGUGAUUGAUGGAAGACGAACAUCUGCGAAAGCAUUUGCCAAGGAUGUUUUCA